CCUCGGUGAUGAUUCGAUGACGAGUCAGAAGGGGGCGCUCUCACUGCUCACUCUCCGUUCUGAGCUUGCGUUCUGCGGUUCGGUCUGGACCGUGAGCAGCUCUGAGGCCCCCUGCCCUGAAGACCAUCGAGGCAUUUGUCUGAGAGGC